rnacentral:rRNA from 1 species
AGUGAACGCUGGCGGUAGGCCUAACACAUGCAAGUCGAACGGCAGCACAGUAAGAGCUUGCUCUUACGGGUGGCGAGUGGCGGACGGGUGAGGAAUACAUCGGAAUCUACUUUUUCGUGGGGGAUAACGUAGGGAAACUUACGCUAAUACCGCAUACGACCUACGGGUGAAAGCAGGGGAUCUUCGGACCUUGCGCGAUUGAAUGAGCCGAUGUCGGAUUAGCUAGUUGGCGGGGUAAAGGCCCACCAAGGCGACGAUCCGUAGCUGGUCUGAGAGGAUGAUCAGCCACACUGGAACUGAGACACGGUCCAGACUCCUACGGGAGGCAGCAGUGGGGAAUAUUGGACAAUGGGCGCAAGCCUGAUCCAGCCAUACCGCGUGGGUGAAGAAGGCCUUCGGGUUGUAAAGCCCUUUUGUUGGGAAAGAAAGGCAGCAGGUUAAUACCCCGCUGUUCUGACGGUACCCAAAGAAUAAGCACCGGCGAACUUCGU